rnacentral:rRNA from 1 species
GAUGAACGCUAGCGGCAGGCUUAAUACAUGCAAGUCGAACGGUAAGGUCUCUUCGGAGAUACACGAGUGGCGCACGGGUGCGUAACGCGUAUGCAACCUACCUCUGACUGGGGGAUAGCCCCGAGAAAUCGGGAUUAAUACCCCAUAACAACCGGGAACCGCAUGGUUUCCGGUUAAAAGCUCCGGCGGUUGGAGAUGGGCAUGCGUGACAUUAGCUAGUUGGUGAGGUAACGGCUCACCAAGGCUACGAUGUCUAGGGGGUUCUGAGAGGAUACUCCCCCACACUGGGUACUGAGACACGGACCAGACACCUUACGGGGUGGCUG